AUUUAUAUAGUUUAAUACAAAACAAUACAUUUUCAUUGUAUAAAUAAUAAAUUUUUUUAUUUAUAAAUA
rnacentral:tRNA from 1 species